UUUAACACUGCAGUGAGGCUGGUAAUGCCUACAGUUCUCUUAAGUAACUUAAAAAUACAUUUUGAAGUAUGGUUAGUCUAAAGUGGUGAUUGCCAAUAUGGGAGCUUGUAACAGGAUUGCAAGAAUUCUGUAUGUCUUUUUGCUUUUUCCUACAAGAGUUUUUUACGAAGAGUAGGAUGAAAGUCCUUAGAAUAAGCUAGUGGAAGAAACAUGCAUGAUAGGGUUUUAGAAAAAAUGAGUUGCAAAAUGUUCUAGAAUAGUUAAGGAACUUCCAUGUUUGAAAAGUCAUGUCUUUACAACUACACUGUGGAGGCCUCUAGAAGUCCAGACAUUUGGUGGUCCGUGUCAAGCAAGUGAAAUUUAUUAGUGCAUAUGAAUUGCUCACCUUCUCUAAAAUACUGUGAGAAUAUUGACUGACUGACAGUUCAGUAUAUUGCUGAAAAUGAGCAUUAUACCAGUUCUUUUUUCACAAAUAGCCCCUACUAGCAGAAUAAGAUUAAUAACUUGACCAGCAUGCUGUUUCAUAUAUGUUCUUGUAGAUAUGCUUAGUUGGCUAUGAAUUCCUUUCCAAAAUGAAUAUGUGUGCAUACAUUUGUGCAUUUUCCACAAAAGCUGACAUGGUGCACAAAGGCUGCUCAGUUUGUUUGAGAUGGGAGGCCAUUUUUAUGCAAUGCUGAGAUUGCAUCUGCCUCUGAGUCAAUACAACCUUGAUUUUUCAAAUACCGAAGAUCAUUUUCUAUGGCUCGAAGUAAGAUUCAGCAUAGUACAAAAAUACAUUCCUCAGGAUGAUUUGAGUUACUCAUCCCAUACAAAAAUAUAAUUUUUUUCCAUGUGCUAAAAUGUUUCCAAUCACAGUUUGUCUGGAGAAUUUUGUGCAAUUUGUGAAAAAUUAUCUAUUAAUCAUGUCCAUAAGGGUACUGUUAAAAGACGUAUUUUAUAUUAUUCUUGUGUUCCUGGACACCCACCAGUUCUUACAAGUCAAGCAAAUAGUUUUCUGGUUGUGAACAACUGAACUGCAAAGUAACAGCCACACUACUACUGAAGUCUUUGUCCAUUUUUAGUCCAUUUCUCACAUUUUUUGAAGAGACUAGUGGAGAGAAGCAAGUAAGAAAAAUAAGGUUAAAGACAGAUCAACUCGGCAGCACAGAGGAGUGGUUAUUCCCCAUUUCAGGGGUCAGGAGAGUUGCUUUUGUUGGUUUGCUAUAUAUUUCUUUGUGAUCUUAGGUUCUUUUCUCUGUCUCUCAUCCUUUUCAUUUUGUCCGUCAUGUUUUACUGUUCUUGCAAGUGGUGUUCUGAGACUGGAUUUUAAUUGGUCUUUUAUAUUACCAUGCUUUUUGUUCAGUGAUAUGAAAAGGUCGUAAUUUUGGUCUCUGCUUCCAGCCAUUUUAAUAAUGCUAAUAAAUAAGGAAUAGCUGAUGUUGGUAAUGCAGCAGGUAUUUUAUCAUAUUCCUCUUAAAUCUGCAGCUGAAUGCAGAAGGUUAGCAUGUUCUUUUUACCCCAUUCUUGUCUUCAGCUUCUAGUAGCCAGAUGUAUAUGGGCUAAUUGGAGGGCGGGGUGGGUUUUGUAGGGAAAAAAAAGAGGCAUGGUACAUUCCUUCUUCUUUUGAUACAUUUUCUGGCAUAUGAAUUAUAUUAGUUAUGGAAACAGAUACUUUCUUAAAUUCUGGGAGAUACCGUUGAUCUGAUCACUGGAUCUCAGUUUCCUUCCUUUUUGUAAAUGCCUGAAUACAAAAGAUGAAAAGUGUAGGCUUACUUGGUGGCUGACUUACCAUUCUCCUUUCGUUUUAACUUAAAAUGACUUUGUUACAUGUGACGUGAAAUUUGCCUUCUUUCUGUUUUUUAAAUAUCAUCAUUUCCAGGUUAGAGUCACAGAAUCACAGUACAGCUGAGCUGGGAAGGGACCUCUGGAGGUCAUCUAGUCCAAACACCCCUGCUCAAGCCAGGCCACCUAGAGUUGGUUGCCCAAGACUCUGUCCAGACUCCCCCUUAUUUCUCUGGAAUUGAAAUAGUUUCUUAACAGUGAGCAUAGUGAGUGUGUUCUGUGCCUUUUUAGAAAGGCAUAUUGCUGAGAGAAGCCUAGCAUGAAGGUCAUUUUCAGAAAGAAGAGAGAUUGCAUGUAUCAGAGGGAAGAUACAUAUUUGAGAAGAGUUUAUAGCAAAUACUUUUCCUUAUACCUUGGGGAAGAAUAUCAGUAGUUGUGAUUGGAGAGUUCUCAUUGUUCUGGUUUUUUAACACCAGAGUUCAUGAAACAGUAUUCCUCUUCUGCUGGUUAUACUGCUCCUUUUCCCCUGCCAUCGGAGGCAUUGCAUUUAAGAACAUACCUAAUUUGCUUUUAUGGUAAUUAGCAAAAAAGCAUCCAUUUCCUUUUUAUCUGCUGAAAGCGUUGAGGCUAAAAAUAGUCACACUGGAAUAUGUUCAGGCUUCAGUCAUAGCCAGCUUCUUCAGGCUGAAAAUAAGCCUCAUUCAGUACCAUUGCUCAGCACCAGAAGUUCUGGAUAUUUGUAAUUCCAGUAAACCUAUAUUCCUGUCAGUGGCACACAUUCCUUCUCUUGAAACCAAUGUCUUUGGUGUGGUACAGUGCUGGAAGACUUUUAACCUUACUGUUAACAGGACUACAAUAAUUAUGAGGAUGUCUCUGCUGCUAAGGUGCUUUGCAGAUUUCAGUGAGGGACUUGUUUAGUACAUAGGGACAUCCUUCCUCUUCCCAGGGCAGCACCAAUUCCUUCUUUUCAUCUCUUUUCCAUCUGUAAUAUGAAAGUCACACUAUAGUGGGUGAAAAUCUGAAAGAGGGUUCAGUUUUAGCUGUCAUGAGUUACAUGUUGUUACUAGACGUGUUAACCUUCUGUUCUCAUUUAUCAUCACGUUUGACCCUGCCAGGGAAAGUGGGAUAGCCAGCUGAUCUAAAAAAGGCCAUUUCUGUAUCAGUGUUAGCCUUUAGAUGUAAAUCUUCAUUUUCUCUGUUGCAGAGCAGAGCUCGCUGAAGCUCAUGUGUCUCUUCCUGGCUCCCAUGCCAGAUGCUAUAGUCAUGCUGCGUACUGCUGGUGUUCUGGGUUCUGCAAAGCUGCUUUGGCAACUACUAGGCUGAUAAGUUUAAAUUUUCACAAUAUGUAGAAUGUCAGCACCAUAGCACAUCUUCUAUUUUUAAGCAACUUUGCUCGCAUACUACUGAUGAUAUUUAGAGUUUGUGACAUACUACUGAUGAUAUUUGGAGAUCGGUAGACUAGUAUCGUCCAACAGUAACCCUGAUGCCAAGGAGCUCCCAAAGUUAUAUGAUAUCACUGAAUACUGAAAGUUAUCCUAGUUGUGAUGCAAAGAUUAGAAUCAGGUGGCAAGUUCUGUCUGUGGCAUAGUAAUUUCCUGGCUUACUGAAGUAUUUCUGGAACUGAUAAAACUGCAGGAAGGCAGUGAAACAAUGGCCUGAAAGAUGACAGGGUACAUAUCUGUCCAUCCAAAUAGCACUUGUUACUUGGGAUGUCACCAAGUUCAAAAAAAUUCAUAGAUGACAAAUCCUCUGGUUUCUGGUUGUUUUUUGAAGGAAUGUCUGUCUGUAGGACUCCAGCACUUCUCAAACUGGGGUUGCCUGUGAUCAGUGGGUGAUUUAAUUCCUGAAGACAUGGCAAAAUUCCAGCAGGAGCUUAACUCCCAGAGUGCCGCAGGACCAGCUACACCAUGGGGGAAGCAGUGGCAGUAUCUCCGGUGCUCUUCAAAGACUCUGUGGGAGGAAAAGAUGCCAGCUUUAGAAACUAAUCACAGCAUUACAUUUUAUGGAAGAAUCGUUCAUUCUCUAAAUAUCUCAGAUAUUAAUACAAGAUACUGAAGCACUACAACCAUCAGUUAAUACUCAGGCACAAUCCUGAAAUAUUUUCCAAAGGAGCGGAUACUGUGCAGCCACCUGCUAAUACUUGAGUCUGGGAUGUUUUUAAAAUGGCUUAGGAGUUGAAUUCAAAUGAACAACAUACCUUAGAUUGAAAUUAAAUGUUUUUUUCUGAAUGCUGUGAUGUACCCAACAGGAAAGCAUAGAGUGCUUGUGGACUGCUGCUCAGUUCCUCCUUCCCUGUUGCCCAGGGCAGAAAGCUGGAACUAAGCAGCUUUCUGACAACUACCUGUGAUCAUUAAGGUUUAGGAUCAGUGUUAUUCUACAUUACAUUUUUGUAUAUAUUUGUUCUAUAAUAUGGGUUCUGUAGAACGCAUAGAUAUAUGAUAAUGUGCAAGGUCCUGCACCUGGGGCAGGGCAAUCCCCAGAAUCAGUACAAACUGCGUAAUGAGUUGACUGAGAGCAGCCUGGUAGAGAAGGACUUGACAGUACUGGUAGAUGACAAGUUGGGCAUGAGCUGGCAAUGUGCACUCACAGCCCAGAAAGGCUGUUGCACAGGAGUCGUGAAGAUCUGUUUUGCCUUGGAGUGCCAUGUUCUAGGUGACUGCUCUGUGCUUUCUCAGUGCCUAACAAAAAGCCUGAAAUAUCCAAACACAAAGUUAAAAUGGAUAGUGCAGUACCUGGGAAUUGUCAGCUUCUCCUGUUUCAGGUGCUUACAAGCCAUGAGUUGGAAGCAAGGUAUGACAUAAAGUAGUGGAACUUAGAGAUUGUAUGCUGGUAUUUGAAAUUAAAGUUUCCAACAGAGUGUAAUUAAUACAGCAAAGCCACUAAAUGGAAAUAAUUAAAGAAGAGAAUUAUACUUAUCUUCACCUAAGUUGCUGACGCACCUAAACGUUGAUAAUGUUAUGUACUAAAAGUGAUUCUGCAUAACUGAAUUAAUAUCCUACUGAUAUCCAUGUGUAUCACAUUGGUAGGUACAAUAUAUGUUACCUGCUCUAUUAAAAUUUUUAAGUUUUCUUCUCUUUGGGAUCCAUUGUCUCUCCUAAGGUGGUAUAACAUAGCUACCUAAAGCCAUUUCUUGUUGGGAUGUGUCUGAACAAUUUAGAAACCACGGUGUGCAAAGACCAGAAUUUAGACUUACAAGAUAGAGGACAGGCAAUAGUGAAACCUGCAGCGGUGGUCUGACUGGAGUUUGGAUGUUUUGGAGGACAGACUGACUUUUUUCAGUUGAUCAGAGUGUGUGUGUCUUUUUCCAUCCUCCACCCUUCUCUCUUCCAGCCUAUUUUUCUCACUCAAACUUUAGGUGGGCUGGAUGCUCCUAGUAUUGUCAAGCACCGUUGAAUAUUUGCUGAUAGAAAAUUAUGGUGACCCUUUCUGACUCAGAAGAAAUUGCAAGUGAAUUUAUCUAGGAGUUGUCUUCAUCAGCAGUUUUAAAAUAUAAAUCAAUUUAAAUC